rnacentral:rRNA from 1 species
AUUGAACGCUGGCGGCAUGCCUUACACAUGCAAGUCGAACGGCAGCACGGGUGCUUGCACCUGGUGGCGAGUGGCGAACGGGUGAGUAAUACAUCGGAACAUGUCCUGUAGUGGGGGAUAGCCCGGCGAAAGCCGGAUUAAUACCGCACACGAUCUACGGAUGAAAGCGGGGGACCUUCGGGCCUCGCGCUAUAGGGUUGGCCGAUGGCUGAUUAGCUAGUUGGUGGGGUAAAGGCCUACCAAGGCGACGAUCAGUAGCUGGUCUGAGAGGACGACCAGCCACACUGGGACUGAGACACGGCCCAGACUCCUACGGGAGGCAGCAGUGGGGAAUUUUGGACAAUGGGCGAAAGCCUGAUCCAGCAAUGCCGCGUGUGUGAAGAAGGCCUUCGGGUUGUAAAGCACUUUUGUCCGGAAAGAAAUCCUUGGCCCUAAUACGGUCGGGGGAUGACGGUACCGGAAGAAUAAGCACCGGCUAACUACGUG